rnacentral:rRNA from 1 species
CGGUGGAGCAUGUGGUUUAAUUCGAAGCAACGCGAAGAACCUUACCAGGCCUUGACAUGCAGAGAACUUUCCAGAGAUGGAUUGGUGCCUUCGGGAACUCUGACACAGGUGCUGCAUGGCUGUCGUCAGCUUGUGUCGUGAGAUGUUGGGUUAAGUCCCGUAACGAGCGCAACCCUUGUCCUUAGUUACCAGCACGUUAUGGUGGGCACUCUAAGGAGACUGCCGGUGACAAACCGGAGGAAGGUGGGGAUGACGUCAAGUCAUCAUGGCCCUUACGGCCUGGGCUACACACGUGCUACAAUGGUCGGUACAAAGGGUUGCCAAGCCGCGAGGUGGAGCUAAUCCCAUAAAACCGAUCGUAGUCCGGAUCGCAGUCUGCAACUCGACUGCGUGAAGUCGGAAUCGCUAGUAAUCGUGAAUCAGAAUGUCACGGUGAAUACGUUCCCGGGCCUU